rnacentral:rRNA from 1 species
AACGAACGCUGGCGGCAUGCCUAACACAUGCAAGUCGAACGAGACCUUCGGGUCUAGUGGCGCACGGGUGCGUAACGCGUGGGAACCUGCCCUUAGGUUCGGAAUAACUCCCCGAAAGGGGUGCUAAUACCGGAUCAUGUCUUCGGACCAAAGAUUUAUCGCCUUUGGAUGGGCCCGCGUUGGAUUAGCUAGUUGGUAGGGUAAAAGCCUACCAAGGCGACGAUCCAUAGCUGGUCUGAGAGGAUGAUCAGCCACACUGGGACUGAGACACGGCCCAGACUCCUACGGGAGGCAGCAGUGGGGAAUAUUGGACAAUGGGCGGAAGCCUGAUCCAGCAAUGCCGCGUGAGUGAUGAAGGCCUUAGGGUUGUAAAGCUCUUUUACCCGGGAUGAUAAUGACAGUACCGGGAGAAUAAGCUCCGGCUAACUCCGUG